AACCAAUCAGCGGAUUGUUUUCCUAUCUCGUAACGUAAUAAACAUCGCGGCCGGAGAAAUAGUGAGGGAAAGGAGAAAUGUAAAACAUUUCAGGACCCUAUGGAAUUAUAAACCAGGAUUUUAUUCAAUAUAAUACUUAAAAAAUAAUGCACAAUUAGUGCUAAAUUAAUAUAUUGCUUUUAAGAGAACGGGACCUAGUUGUAACACGAAUAACACACGCAAGCUAAGCUAGCUAGCAAGCUAGCUCGCGCUACAGUACUGUAGGCCUCUAGCUAAAUUUACGCGGAAAAGGAACUUGCUAACUGUUUAUAGAAAAUACGCUCGUAGUAGCUAGCUAGUAAUUUGUGCCACGAACAAGGAAGCUAGUUGUAUCUAGCUAUUUAAACACUUCCACUAACGUUACCCUCUAGGCUAGUUAACUAAUUUGUAGGAUAUUGCGUUAGCUAGCGCAGCAGACUAAUUGGCAAAAAUGAGCGAAAAAACGAGGUACAGCAAAAAGUCUGCAGACUCCGCACCGAAGAAACGAUGUCAGUCCGACGAGCAGGCUGGCCAGUCCCCUCUUCCAAGUAAGUUAGCCAAAGUGGACGGCGAGGUGUCCAGUGAAUUACCAUCGAAUUCUCAUGGAAACAAAAAUGGGGAAGAUGGCGAUAAAGUACCAGCCAUAGAAGAGAAGAAUGGAAAUGAGGAGAGUGGACUAGAUCUGAAAAAGGGACCCGGGGGGGGGAUUUGUGCAGCUGUCACUGCCAAUAACCCAUCCAGCGCUGAUGCACAUGUCAGCGCCGUCAACAGUGCUCUUGUAUCGGGUGCACCAGUCUCUAGCGAUGCAAAGGAAGUAAAAAACCUGGGAAGUGCUGGUGCUGGAGAUUGCCGACCCUCAACUUCACUGGACCAGUCUGAUUCGGCCGCUAUAGCAGCCGCCGAGGCACUUGCAAGUCUCACAGGAGCAGCUACGGGUGAAGAGGUUAAACAAAAGCCAUUUUCCUCAAAGAAAGUUGGACAUUAUGAGAGAAUGGGACACAAAGGUAAGCGUGGUGACCAGGAGUCCUCAAAGGAACGAUCAAAACCUGAAAGGGGUCUUCACACACAGGCAGCAGCAGCAGACAGCUCUACCUCACUGCGUGGAGUUGACAAGGAGGAUGCCGAGGACAUGCCCGAUGCGGAUGAGGAAGACGACUCAAUACCCGGAUCUUCGUCCGCACCGAGUUCCUCUUUCCCUUCAGAUAAUGAUGAUGAUGACGGGGAGUGCGCUAUAGUUUCAGUGAAGAUGGCCCCGGAGAUCCGACAGUCAGUGGCCCUUCUGGCGCAGGUACAGAUGAGGCUGGAUGCUCUGGAGAAGAAAGGUGCGCGGCUUCACCAGCGGCUAGAGCUGAAACUGAGCCGCCAGCGCCGUCCACACGUGGACCAGCGUAGCUCCAUCAUACAGGCCAUCCCUGGCUUCUGGGUCACGGCAUUAUUGAACCACCCUCAUCUCUCUGCUCACAUUGACAAAACAGAUGAAGGCGCUCUCAGUUACAUGACCAACCUUGAAAUUGAAUCCUUCAAGACCAACAAGCUUGGUUACAGAAUCGGGUUCCACUUCAAACGGAAUCCUUACUUCCAGAACAACAUCAUCGUGAAGGAGCUCCACCUUGGAAUGACAGGAUCUCCAGUGUCUUUCUCCAACCCCAUCCUGUGGCACCGCGGGCAGAACCUGACGCUUCACAGUGAGCCCAGGAGGUCGAGACGCGGCAUCUAUCAGACCUUCUUCAGCUGGUUCAGCGACCACGCCAGUCCUGGCCGGGACGACAUAGCACAGAUUCUGAAAGAUGACCUUUUCAGAAACCCUCUCAGAUACUAUUUGACUCCACUGUGGGAACCCAGGCAGAAUGGCAGCACCAGUGGACCCAAGCCAGCUGACAACAGCAACAGGGAGGAUUGUGUGGUGAUCUCUGACUCGGAUGAUGAUGAUGAUGAUGAUGAUGAAGAAGAGCAGGCUAAGUCUGGACGAGAUCUUAGCAGGGAAGAGGAGAAUGAGGAUGAGGACGAGGAGCAUGGGGGCCGAGAUGCAGGUGAAACUGAAUAGACAGCGAAUAUGUCCUCAGAAUCAGAUGAAAGCCCAGAGGAGGAUGAUGACGGAGAGGUUGCAAUAGACGGCUCUGAUGACAGCGACCAGGAUGCCAGAGAGGAUGAGGACUCAUCAUACGGAGAGAAGGAUGAAGAGGUGGACGUGGAAGACGUGGAUGAAUCACGAGGUCGCGAGGUCAGAGACCAAGAUAAAGAGGAGGAUGUUGAGGUGGACGAAGAAGAGGAUGAGAGCUAAGAUCGUUUGUUCUUUCCAAUUUCCUUUUUUUCUUAUUAUGCACAAAAUAUCAAUUAUUGUUAAUAAAUUCUAAAUGCUUGACUGCAUUUUAAAAUCAGGGUAAAUAAAAAAAAUCCAGGACACCAUGUUUUGACUGUAUAUUUUACUGUAAUCUUUGUUGAAUUUAAAGGAAAAAAAAGUUUUUUUGGUAAAGAUUCUUUAUUACUGGGGUCUCAAAUUCGAAGGAUUGUAACUUAAUCAUGCAUUAGAUCUUGACUCAUUCAUUCAGUUUACUCUUAUUGUUAGGGCUACUCAACACAAAACAAAAAUAAUACCAGUACAAUAAUAUUCUACGAGGUUUGAGACCCCUGAUUGAAUGUUGUUAAUACUGCCAAGAUUUGGUAGAAUCUCUUGUUGCAAAUGGUCCAAUAAAACAAUACUAGAUAUUUUACUGACAGGUAUCAGUGAUCACGUCUUCAACUCAAUUUAUCUUGGACUUUUCCUAUUGUAAAUCUGAUCUUUGACGAGGUAAAAGGGAGAUUUUCGGAGAGGUUGUAAUAUUAUUCCCAACACAUCUCGGAUGCACUUCCUACUGAACCAAAUCUUGUUCUCAGGGAUGACCUAGUCGUGAGUGUUUUCAUGGAAGGAAACCGUAUACUAUAUAAUGUUUUCUCACACUCCUGCCAUUGUUUGGGUGUAUCUGUGUAAAAUAAGUUUACUCUACAGUAGUUUGUGUUAUUUUAAUAAGGUAAAUAUAGGUAAUAUUUCCUGUGUUUUCACGCCUUUCCUAUCAUAAACUUAGUGUGUAGCUGUGCACCCAUAUUAAUUAAUAUUCACACAUGUUUAUGUUUUUCAAAUCUUUAAGUAUAUUUUAACAUUCAUUGAGUUAUUUGGGUGGAAUCCCACAUUUUUGUAACAUGAAUUGUAAUAUUUUGAGCUUGUUGCAUCCAUGCAUUCAACAUUUUUUGCUUUUGUGUAACUUUUAGAAACUGUUAUCGUCACAUUUUUGUGUUUUUUUAAUAAAUAAGUGUCUAUCAAAGUAAGUCAGAAUGAUGACCUUUAACAGUAUGAAAGAUUCUGUAUAGAGCAAAUAUUUGCAGUGACUGUUGCCUCAAAGGCAUUGACGAGUGUGGUCCGACAAAGUAACAGAACUGUAGCCCAGGGCAGCUCUUAAAGUACUGUAACAAUGCUAGCUAGUGGUUUCAUGUUGUUUCUUUUCCACACAGACUGAUGGCAUUGGCAUGUACAUAUUUUAAACUUAACUUUGUGUGCAGAGUUUGGAUCUGUUAAGCUUAAAUCAUUACCUGUAGCCAUCUGGAAUUUGACAAAUAGGGUAUAUUAACAAAAAGUAAUAUUUUGUGUGCUGAAUUAUUUUAUAGUAUGCUAUAGUUCUGAAGAAAACGUGUUUUGUUUUUUAAGAUAUAAUGUCUGCAUUUUGAAUCCAAUUUAAUUAAAUAGCAAGUUAUUUA